rnacentral:lncRNA from 1 species
AAGGAGAAGGAGUAGAAGGUGAAGAAGAAGCUAAGAAGUAGAGCUACUUCCUCUUCUUCCUCUUUGGAGUAACAUAGGAGCAAGCUUAGAGGUAAGCUUGAACCCUAUUCAUGGUAGAACCCAAACUAGGGAUUUGAUUAACCUAGGAAUGGUUUUAAUGGAGUCUCUAGAGUGGAUUGAAGCUUCUUUUGCUUCCGAAGGAGAUCAAACUCUAGGUUUGAUAUAUGCUAUGAAGCUAGGGCACCCAAAUUUGGGGCUUUUGCUCGGGAGGGUUUCAAAGUGAAAUUAACCCUCUAGAAACCUAAUUGGGGACCAAACGAACACGUUGGUGCGCUCGGUUUAACGUUAUGAAAAG